UAAUAAUAAGUUGUAUGAAACCUUUAAA
rnacentral:piRNA from 1 species